UGUUGCUAUGGCUUGCACAGUGGGAGCCGUAAGGGUCAGCAGAGAUCAGAGCCCCGCCAUUCUUCAUUCAAAGACAAAUAUCAGCAGUACAGUUUCUACCUAUUUUCUAUGAACAUGAGCGAUGCAUUUCUUGAAGAGGACUUUACUCCUGGGUCCAAUAUGGAUGUAUUCAGAGGGGAUGAAACACCAGUCUCCUUUCAGAUCAUUCUUGAAGAAUCCCCUUGAAGGAUUUCUCCUGGCAGAGAACAUCUCCUGAAGGCAAAUGUCAUACCAGAGAAUAAAGGAAUGCCAUACAUACA
rnacentral:lncRNA from 1 species